AGGACGAACGCUGGCGGCGUGCUUAACACAUGCAAGUCGAGCGAGGCCCUUCCUUCGGGAAGGUGCCCUAGCGGCGAACGGGUGAGUAACACGUGGGCAACCUGCCCCUAGCACUGGGAUAACUCCGGGAAACCGGGGCUAAUACCGGAUAUGACGUUCGAGGGCAUCCUCGUUCGUGUAAAGGAUUCUGGCUAGGGAUGGGCCCGCGGCCUAUCAGCUUGUUGGUGGGGUAAUGGCCUACCAAGGCGACGACGGGUA
rnacentral:rRNA from 1 species